rnacentral:rRNA from 1 species
AGUGAACGCUGGCGGCGUGCUUAACACAUGCAAGUCGAACGAGAACGGAUUAUAGCUUGCUAUAAUUGUUAGCUAAGUGGCGCACGGGUGAGUAAUAUAUAGAUAACCUGCCCUCUAGAAAGGAAUAACAGUUGGAAACGACUGCUAAUGCCCUAUAUGCCUUUAAUACAUAAGUAUGCAAGGGAAACGCUUUAGUGCUAGAGGAUGGGUCUGUAUGGUAUCAGCUUGUUGGUGAGGUAAUGGCUCACCAAGGCUAUGACGCCUAACUGGUUUGAGAGGAUGAUCAGUCACACUGGAACUGAGACACGGUCCAGACUCCUACGGGAGGCAGCAGUGGGGAAUAUUGCACAAUGGACGAAAGUCUGAUGCAGCAACGCCGCGUGGAGGAUGACACAUUUCGGUGCGCAAACUCCUUUUAUAUAGGAAGAUAAUGACGGUACUAUAUGAAUAAGCACCGGCUAACUCCGUGCCAGCCGCCGCAGUAA